GAGAAAAAGAAGAAGCACCCGCUUCUCACCUGAUUGACGCAUUUAGUGUAGUUGAUAGGGUUACGUGAAACUAAUUUAUUUCGUUUUCGUAGUGUGGGUGUGUUCACCCACACUUUUUUAUAUGC
rfam:Bacillus sp. 1NLA3E, complete genome.